rfam:Pan troglodytes isolate Yerkes chimp pedigree #C0471 (Clint) chromosome 3, whole genome shotgun sequence.
GUUUCACUAUAAGUAUGUCCCAUGAUAUAUUUGGGACAUACUUAUACUAAAA